rnacentral:rRNA from 1 species
CAGGAAGCAGCUUGCUGCUUUGCUGACGAGUGGCGGACGGGUGAGUAAUGUCUGGGAAACUGCCUGAUGGAGGGGGAUAACUACUGGAAACGGUAGCUAAUACCGCAUAACGUCGCAAGACCAAAGAGGGGGACCUUCGGGCCUCUUGCCAUCGGAUGUGCCCAGAUGGGAUUAGCUAGUAGGUGGGGUAACGGCUCACCUAGGCGACGAUCCCUAGCUGGUCUGAGAGGAUGACCAGCCACACUGGAACUGAGACACGGUCCAGACUCCUACGGGAGGCAGCAGUGGGGAAUAUUGCACAAUGGGCGCAAGCCUGAUGCAGCCAUGCCGCGUGUAUGAAGAAGGCCUUCGGGUUGUAAAGUACUUUCAGCGGGGAGGAAGGCGACAGGGUUAAUAACCCUGUCGAUUGACGUUACCCGCAGAAGAAGCACCGGCUAACUCCGUGCCAGCAGCCGCGGUAAUACGGAGGGUGCAAGCGUUAAUCGGAAUUACUGGGCGUAAAGCGCACGCAGGCGGUCUGUCAAGU